rnacentral:rRNA from 1 species
GGUCAAGUGAAGAAGCGCAUACGGUGGAUGCCUUGGCAGUCAGAGGCGAUGAAAGACGUGGUAGCCUGCGAAAAGCUUCGGGGAGUCGGCAAACAGACUGUGAUCCGGAGAUGUCUGAAUGGGGGAACCCAGCUGUCAUAAGACAGUUAUCUCAUGCUGAAUACAUAGGCAUGAGAGGCGAACCAGGGGAACUGAAACAUCUAAGUACCCUGAGGAAAAGAAAUCAACCGAGAUUCCCUUAGUAGUGGCGAGCGAACGGGGACCAGCCCUUAAGUUGGUUUGAGAUUAGCGGAACGCUCUGGAAAGUGCGGCCAUAGUGGGUGAUAGCCCUGUACGCGAAAAUCUCUUGUCAAUGAAAUCGAGUAGGACGGGGCACGAGAAACCUUGUCUGAAUAUGGGGGGACCAUCCUCCAAGGCUAAAUACUACUGACUGACCGAUAGUGAACUAGUACCGUGAGGGAAAGGCGAAAAGAACCCCGGAGAGGGGAGUGAAAUAGAUCCUGAAACCGUAUGCGUACAAGCAGUGGGAGCCCACUUUGUUGGGUGACUGCGUACCUUUUGUAUAAUGGGUCAGCGACUUAUAUUCAGUGGCGAGCUUAACCGAAUAGGGGAGGCGUAGCGAAAGCGAGUGUUAAUAGCGCGUUUAGUCGCUGGGUAUAGACCCGAAACCGGGCGAUCUAUCCAUGGGCAGGUUGAAGGUUGGGUAACACUAACUGGAGGACCGAACCGACUACCGUUGAAAAGUUAGCGGAUGACCUGUGGAUCGGAGUGAAAGGCUAAUCAAGCUCGGAGAUAGCUGGUUCUCCUCGAAAGCUAUUUAGGUAGCGCCUCAUGUAUCACUGUAGGGGGUAGAGCACUGUUUCGGCUAGGGGGUCAUCCCGACUUACCAAACCGAUGCAAACUCCGAAUACCUACAAGUGCCGAGCAUGGGAGACACACGGCGGGUGCUAACGUCCGUCGUGAAAAGGGAAACAACCCAGACCGUCAGCUAAGGUCCCAAAAUCCUGGUUAAGUGGGAAACGAUGUGGGAAGGCUUAGACAGCUAGGAGGUUGGCUUAGAAGCAGCCACCCUUUAAAGAAAGCGUAAUAGCUCACUAGUCGAGUCGGCCUGCGCGGAAGAUGUAACGGGGCUCAAACCAGGUACCGAAGCUACGGGUAUCACCUUAGGGUGAUGCGGUAGAGGAGCGUUCUGUAAGCCUGUGAAGGUGAGUUGAGAAGCUUGCUGGAGGUAUCAGAAGUGCGAAUGCUGACAUGAGUAACGACAAUGGGUGUGAAAAACACCCACGCCGAAAGACCAAGGUUUCCUGCGCAACGUUAAUCGACGCAGGGUUAGUCGGUCCCUAAGGCGAGGCUGAAAAGCGUAGUCGAUGGAAAACAGGUUAAUAUUCCUGUACUUCUGGUUAUUGCGAUGGAGGGACGGAGAAGGCUAGGCCAGCUUGGCGUUGGUUGUCCAAGUUUAAGGUGGUAGGCUG